AUUGAACGCUGGCGGCAUGCCUUACACAUGCAAGUCGAACGGCAGCACGGGAGCAAUCCUGGUGGCGAGUGGCGAACGGGUGAGUAAUAUAUCGGAACGUGCCCAGUCGUGGGGAUAACGUAGCGAAAGCUACGCUAAUACCGCAUACGAUCUAUAGAUGAAAGCGGGGGAUCGCAAGACCUCGCGCGAUUGGAGCGGCCGAUAUCAGAUUAGGUAGUUGGUGAGGUAAAGGCUCACCAAGCCGACGAUCUGUAGCUGGUCUGAGAGGACGACCAGCCACACUGGGACUGAGACACGGCCCAGACUCCUACGGGAGGCAGCAGUGGGGAAUUUUGGACAAUGGGCGCAAGCCUGAUCCAGCAAUGCCGCGUGCAGGAU
rnacentral:rRNA from 1 species